GUAGUACUGUCUUCUACUGCACGACUCUGCCACACUUUAUUCCCGUUUGUAAAGCUGAAUCUUCAGAAGCUUCGUCCCUUGAAAUCCAGCAACAGAUGAAUUCAACUGCUAAGAUGGAGUCACUGAAGCUUAUACCACAUCUCAAACAGACAACAGUGUUCAUAAAUAAAUCCCUUGGGCCUUGUUAAAAUUUGCAAGAAGAACUGUGCCCACAAAGCCAACGUAUUGCAGCCAAUCAACUGUAACUGAACAAAAAUUCCCAAACUGAUUCAAUAUCUAGACACAAGAGACUACAGAUGCUGGAAUCUGGAGCAACACACACAAUGCUGGAGGAAUGCAGUGGAGUUGAAUUGAGUUGAAUGGAGCCCGCUGAUUUGAUUCAAUAUCUAAUCAGUUUAGGCUGAACCAACAUGGUAAAGAUUUCCAAACACAAUUAAUGCAGACUUUGUCAGAAAUUAAAUCAUGCAAAAUAAUAAAGUGCAAUUAAUGUAAUCUAAUGACAUGAGAUUAAAAUAUAAACUCUUAGUUUAAUAGGUACAGCACUCAGAGCAAUGGGCACUGAAACAGAAAUUUAGCAAUGUUGAACCUUGGCCAUGAAAAGGCAAUUAAGUUUCAACUUUCUGUUCAAUGAUUGAAGUUAAACUUCCACAGGGCAGCUCACAUGUUUUAUUAAGUAUAACCUGGCCUUGGGCC